UCUUUUUAAAUUUGGCAUUCAGAGAAAAACCAAGAAAGGUACCAUGUGAAUAAAAGGCCUUAAUUUACCUGUAAAACAAGUUUGAUUUUUCUCUCACACUGCUUUCCAGGCUUUGGGGAAACUUUGAGAGUUCAGGAGGUAUUCUCAUGGCUCCAAGUCUCUGCCACAUGACCAUGCCAUCUGUGGGGCCACUGGUUUACUAGAAAAAUCUAACUCAAGGUUGCAAGACAGCAAUGAGGGAGCCUGGAGGAAUGCUUUGCCUAAUAGGUCUAUGAGUGAACAUAUUGGACCAGUCAUAUUCUUCCCCUUGGAGAGUUUGAAGCAAAGGCACAAAGAAGAGGAUAUUAGUUGUGAGAAGAUGCAAAAGAAAGCAACAUGAAGAACCCACGAGACAGUGGGAAAUACAAACAUCUAGAAUUAUAAGCUACAAAGGCUUUAGGCCCUUAUCAGGCUACCCAGGGACUAUACCCAAAUUCUUCUCUUUGGGCUUCUCACCUGGACCAGUGUUAAGGAUGUUCAUGUCCUGGGCAUUAGGCUUUGCACCAUGAAAUAGAGAUGAGAAUUGGCCCAGCCCACAAAUAUCUUCUCCCUUUUCCCAGCUGGAGGACGUGCACAUUGUCUUAUAGAGGCUUUAUCAA